UUGUACGGAUGAGCAAAGAAAGUAGUUUCUUGAGAUGGAAACUAUCCCGGGUGAAGAUGCUAUGAA
rnacentral:pre_miRNA from 1 species